UGAGCUUUUUAUUUGUCUUUUAAGUAAAUGUGAAUGUGUAGCAAGACAUAGCUGUUUGUAUAUAUUAUAUUGUAUUUAUUACCAUACUCUGUAUUUUAGACCCAAUUUUGUCAUAAUGACAUGGUUGUAUAUAGACACAGUAAGCUUUACUGCUAAUGUUAUGUAUGUUUCAGAAGACCUAAUCAAAUUACUACAAUUGCAUGGAUGAAAAAUGAAAAUGUUCUUUUGGGGGCUUUAGCUUGCUUAGCAUUAUUUUCACUCUUUUGUGCUUAUUUUUGUGUAGAAAUUGUUAGUAACUUUACAUAGAAGUCAGGAAAAACUGGCUCUAACUCCAGUGAUUAACAAAAUUACAUGCAGAUUUUCGGAGAUUGUUAUGAUUUAUAAAGUAGGCUAUUUUUCAUUGUUAAUUACCACGUAAAUAUCUGCUGUUUGAUAGAGCGCUUUGCUAUUGAGCAAAAUAAAGUAUACUUUCAUAGGGUAUAUUUAGUUAUUUAGGGAAAUGAUUCUCAAUGAGAAAGGUCUACCAUGUUCCUUGAUAGUCAGAAAUUAAGUGUAUAACCAGCAAAUGGGAGAGUUUUACUCAAUCCUUUUUUUUCUAACAGAUUUUAAAAGUUGAAAUAGUGUGUUUUCCUAUUAGUAUUUCUAUGCUGAAUUUAUUGUGUUCUGCAUUCAUGUAGGUUGAGCUGUAAUACUUCUAUCAUACUUUAUUCUAAAUAUUUUUUAGUAUUUGUAAUACAGCUAGUUUGGGAAAGUGGAAAAAUUAAAUCCUCAGUUAAUCUCGUAAAUGACCUUCUGGUUUUUUCCCAAGCAUAUUACCAUUUGUUUGUGAUAAGGUACACAGCGGGCUUUAUUUCUUGUAAUAAGCACGGUUGCAUCCUUAACUUGACCUAAUAGAAUGUGACUUCUGUUGCAUUUGUAUUCUAAUGUAAAACUUUAUUUUUUAAAUUGCUUAUUUUUAAGUAAAAAAAUAAGCAAAAAUUGUGUAAUUUUAUCAAAAACAUUUUUUAAAAUGUAUUUCAUGCACAGGUAUAAUUUUUAUUCAGCGGACUAUUUCUGAUACUUCCUCUGGUGGACGUUUAAUUAUUAUAAUUUCUAAUGCACUAUUUUAUCCUUAGCUUUGUUUGUUAUGUAUUGGAAUGAAAUUUGGUCAAAUGUUAUGAUUACGGUGAGUUGUAUAACAGCUACUGGUAAUGUUUUAUCAAUCACAUGAAAGCAGGGGUGCAGCUAUAUUGGUGAAUGCUCUUAACUUCAAAGUUAAACCAAUAUAGAUUUUAAAUGUUGAGCCUAAAUAUUAGUGUCCAGUAGUUUCUUUAAAGUUUUUAAUAUAGUGAGUAUUACUAUAUUAUUUUUAGUGUUUCUUGUGCUAAAACAGACAUAAUUUCUAAAAUACGGAUUUGAUUUUCUAGUAAGAUUUAUAAUAUUAGGGUAUUAAAUCUUAAAUGCUUGAGUGGUUUUGUGUCUUUUUAAAACAAUGUUUUUAUAUUUACAUAUUUUUAAAUUUAUUCCCACUUUGUUUUUAAAUUUGUUAUUGUUGACCCUAUUAUAAAUGUCCCCCAUUUCCCAUUUACAUCUUUUUUUAAAUAUAACUAUAUUCAUGGGUAGAAAUCUAAGAAUUAAAGUGUAUAGAUCUUUGUGGCACUUUACUCUAAUGGGUUGAUUUUUAGAGAGAGAAAGAAAA